rnacentral:rRNA from 1 species
UACGACUACAUAUCAGGCAUAUCAAUAAGCGGAGGAAAAGAAACUAACUAAGGAUUCCCUUAGUAACGGCGAGUGAAGCGGGAAGAGCUCAAAUUUGAAAUCUUCAAGGUUCUACCUUGACGAAUUGUAGUUUAAAGAAGUGUUUUCUGUUGGAGUUUUGGUAAAAGUUCUUUGGAAUAGGACAUCAUAGAGGGUGAGAAUCCCGUAUUUGACCGUUACUUUUCAGCUGUGUGAUACACUUUCAAAGAGUCGGAUUGUUUGGGAAUGCAGUCCAAAAUGGGUGGUAAAUUUCAUCUAAAGCUAAAUAUUGGCGAGAGACCGAUAGCGAACAAGUACCGUGAGGGAAAGAUGAAAAGAACUUUGAAAAGAGAGUUAAACAGUACGUGAAAUUGUCAAAAGGGAAGCGUUUGACACCAGUGUUGUUUUCUCGAAAAUCAAUUCAAUAGUUUUUGAUUCUAAGUAGUAUUGACUUCAUCAGCUUGCUGCUUUCUUCUCAGAAAUUAUUGAAUGCACUUUUCAGUUAACAAGUCAACAUCAAUUUCUUUUGUUGUAAAAGGGUAAGAGGAAGGUGGCUUGCGCUUCGGCUCAAGUGUUUAUAGCCUUUUAUCUCUGCAAUCGGAGAGAUUGAGGUCUGCAGCGUAGAUCCUUCGGGGUUAGAUACAUCGGUGCUAAGCUAUAGCCUUGUAUAGACAACUUGUUGACUAUGCUCAGUCAUGUAGCUUACUCGCUGAUGCUAUUUUACCUACGCUUAGGAUGUUGAUCUCUCACAGUCGAGC